rnacentral:rRNA from 1 species
UACAGAGGGUGCAAGCGUUAAUCGGAAUUACUGGGCGUAAAGCGCUCGUAGGUGGUUAAAUAAGUCAGAUGUGAAAUCCCUGGGCUCAACCUAGGAAUUGCAUUUGAUACUGUUUAGCUAGAGUAUGGUAGAGGGAAGUGGAAUUUCUGGUGUAGCGGUGAAAUGCGUAGAUAUCAGAAGGAACAUCAGUGGCGAAGGCGACUUCCUGGACUAAUACUGACACUGAGGAGCGAAAGCGUGGGGAUCAAAC